GGAGAGUGGGUCAGGGAAGACUGAGGCCACUAAACUGGUGCUGCGUUACCUAGCAGCAAUACACCACAAACACAACGUUACACAGCAGAUUCUUGAGGCGGCUCCUCUUCUGGAAUCAUUUGGAAAUGCCAAAACAGUUCGCAACGACAACUCCAGUCGCUUCGGGAAAUACGUGGAGAUCUAUCUGGAGGAGGGUGUGAUCAGCGGUGCCAUAACCUCUCAGUAUCUGAUGGAAAAGUCCC